rnacentral:rRNA from 1 species
UACGUAGGGGGCUAGCGUUGUCCGGAAUCAUUGGGCGUAAAGCGCGUGUAGGCGGUCCGGUAAGUCCGCUGUGAAAGUCGGGGGCUCAACCCUCGAAAGCCGGUGGAAACUGUCGGGCUAGAGUGCGGAAGAGGCGAGUGGAAUUCCUGGUGUAGCGGUGAAAUGCGCAGAUAUCAGGAGGAACACCAAUUGCGAAGGCAGCUCGCUGGGACGUUACUGACGCUGAGACGCGAAAGCGUGGGAAGCAAACAGG